rfam:Schistosoma rodhaini strain Burundi genome assembly, scaffold: SROB_scaffold0014766
AUCCAUCUGACGAAUCCCAAAUAGGACGAAACGGUCGUCCUGGAU